GACGAACGCUGGCGGCGUGCCUAAUACAUGCAAGUAGAACGCUGAAGGAGGAGCUUGCUCUUCUGGAUGAGUUGCGAACGGGUGAGUAACGCGUAGGUAACCUGCCUGGUAGCGGGGGAUAACUAUUGGAAACGAUAGCUAAUACCGCAUAAGAGUAGAUGUUGCAUGACAUUUACUUAAAAGGUGCAAUUGCAUCACUACCAGAUGGACCUGCGUUGUAUUAGCUAGUUGGUGGGGUAACGGCUUACCAAGGCGACGAUACAUAGCCGACCUGAGAGGGUGAUCGGCCACACUGGGACUGAGACACGGCCCAGACUCCUACGGGAGGCAGCAGUAGGGAAUCUUCGGCAAUGGACGGAAGUCUGACCGAGCAACGCCGCGUGAGUGAAGAAGGUUUUCGGAUCGGAAAGCUCUGUUGUAAGAGAAGAACGAGUGUGAGAGUGGAAAGUUCACACUGUGACGGUAUCUUACCAGAAAGGGACGGCUAACUACGUG
rnacentral:rRNA from 1 species